rnacentral:rRNA from 1 species
UGGCUGAGGGCACGUCUGCCUGGGCGUCACGCAUCGCGUCGCCCCCCACAAUUCUCYGCAAAGAGAACUUGUGUUUUGGGGGCGGAUAGUGGUCUCCCGUGCUCAUGGCGUGGUUGGCCGAAAUAGGAGUCCCUUCGAUGGACGCACGAACUAGUGGUGGUCGUAAAAACCCUCGUCUUUUGUUUYGUGCCGUUAGUCGCAAGGGAAACUCUUUGAAAACCCAAACGYGUCGUCUCUAGAYGACGCUUCGACCGCGACCCCAGGUCAGGCGGGACUACCCGCUGAGUUUAAGCAUAUCAA